AACGAACGCUGGCGGCAUGCCUAACACAUGCAAGUCGAACGAGACCUUCGGGUCUAGUGGCGCACGGGUGCGUAACGCGUGGGAACCUGCCCUUAGGUUCGGAAUAACUCCCCGAAAGGGGUGCUAAUACCGGAUAAUGUCUUCGGACCAAAGAUUUAUCGCCUUUGGAUGGGCCCGCGUUGGAUUAGCUAGUUGGUAGGGUAAAAGCCUACCAAGGCGACGAUCCAUAGCUGGUCUGAGAGGAUGAUCAGCCACACUGGGACUGAGACACGGCCCAGACUCCUACGGAAGGCAGCAGUGGGGAAUAUUGGACAAUGGGCGAAAGCCUGAUCCAGCAAGGCCGCGUGAGUGAUGAAGGCCUUAGGGUUGUAAAGCUCUUUUACCCGGGAUGAUAAUGACAGUACCGGGAGAAUAAGCUCCGGCUAACUCCGU
rnacentral:rRNA from 1 species